rnacentral:rRNA from 1 species
GCUAACGCUUCCGUAUGAAGACGAGUCUCAUCCGGUAGAGCGAAUGAUUAGAGGUAUUGGGGUCGAAACGGCCUCAACCUAUUCUCAAACUCCAAAUAGAUGAGAACCUCGGCUUGCUUAAAAGUGAAGCCGUGGGUAGUCUAAAGACGGAUCAAAGUGGGCCAAUUUUGGUAAGCAGAACUGGCGCUGUGG